GUCAGCAGCCAAACCGCCUGCAGUUCAGACAGGGUAAUGCCUUUGAAGAUAAGCUGAUUUGGGCCUGGCCAGUACUUGGAUGGGGCACCAAGUUGAAGAGCUGGGUUGCUGCUGGAA
rnacentral:rRNA from 1 species